rnacentral:rRNA from 1 species
AUUAACAGGAUUAGAUACCCUGGUAGUCCACGCCCUAAACGAUGUCUACUAGUUGUCGGGUUUUAAUUAACUUGGUAACGCAGCUAACGCGUGAAGUAGACCGCCUGGGGAGUACGGUCGCAAGAUUAAAACUCAAAGGAAUUGACGGGGACCCGCACAAGCGGUGGAUGAUGUGGAUUAAUUCGAUGCAACGCGAAAAACCUUACCUACCCUUGACAUGUACGGAAGGCCGAAGAGAUUUGGCUGUGCUCGAAAGAGAACCGUAACACAGGUGCUGCAUGGCUGUCGUCAGCUCGUGUCGUGAGAUGUUGGGUUAAGUCCCGCAACGAGCGCAACCCUUGUCAUUAGUUGCUACGAAAGGGCACUCUAAUGAGACUGCCGGUGACAAACCGGAGGAAGGUGGGGAUGACGUCAAGUCCUCAUGGCCCUUAUGGGUAGGGCUUCACACGUCAUACAAUGGUACAUACAGAGCGCCGCCAACCCGCGAGAGGGAGCUAAUCGCAGAAAGUGUAUCGUAGUCCGGAUUGUAGUCUGCAACUCGACUGCAUGAAGUUGGAAUCGCUAGUAAUCGCGGAUCAGCAUGUCGCGGUGAAUACGUUCCCGGGUCUUGUACACACCGCCCGUCACACCAUGGGAGCGGGUUUUACCAGAAGUAGGUAGCUUAACCGCAAGGAGGGCGCUUACCACGGUAGGAUUCGUGACUGGGGGUGAAGUCGUAACAAGGUAGCCGUA